rnacentral:rRNA from 1 species
GACGAACGCUGGCGGCGUGCUUAACACAUGCAAGUCGAACGGAAAGGCCCUGCUUUUGUGGGGUGCUCGAGUGGCGAACGGGUGAGUAACACGUGAGUAACCUGCCCUUGACUUUGGGAUAACUUCAGGAAACUGGGGCUAAUACCGGAUAGGAGCUCCUGCUGCAUGGUGGGGGUUGGAAAGUUUCGGCGGUUGGGGAUGGACUCGCGGCUUAUCAGCUUGUGGGUGGGGUAGUGGCUUACCAAGGCUUUGACGGGUAGCCGGCCUGAGAGGGUGACCGGCCACAUUGGGACUGAGAUACGGCCCAGACUCCUACGGGCGGCAGCAGUGGGGAAUAUUGCACAAUGGGCGGAAGCCUGAUGCAGCAACGCCGCGUGCGGGAUGACGGCCUUCGGGUUGUAAACCGCUUUCGCCUGUGCCGAAGCGUGAGUGACGGUAAUGGGUAAAGAAGCACCGGCUAACUACGUG